rnacentral:misc_RNA from 1 species
ACACCUCAACUCUUCAUGGUUUUCCAUGAUGAGCUUGGACUUUGGGGGUCUUGCUGGCCUGCGGUCGGCUCCUCUCAAAUGAAUCAGCUUACCAGUGUUUGGUGGGCAUCACAGGUGUGAUAACUAUCUGCGCUUGUGGUUUUCCACCAAGUAACCUUCAGCAGUGGAGGUUCACUGGAGCUCACAGACGUCUCUCCUCAGUGAGGACAGCCCUUUGAAU